AUCUCCUCGCAGGCGAAAUGGGUCUCUCUGGUCUAGGUCAGGAAGCUCAAUGUGGUGGGGGUGAUUCCAUGGAGCAUAUGCUCUGGCUCUCUGGGGAUGGACAUGCGCUCUAUGGAAUCACCCCCGCUACAUAAGUGUCUGUGUAGUAGA
ensembl:miRNA sha-mir-1540 sha-mir-1540